rnacentral:rRNA from 1 species
GACGAACGCUGGCGGCGUGCCUAACACAUGCAAGUCGAACGAGGUCCAUGAGAGCUUGCUCUCAGAAGACCUAGUGGCGAACGGGUGAGUAACACGUGAGAAACCUGCCUCGGAGUGGGGAAUAACUCGGGGAAACUCGAGCUAAUACCGCAUAUCUUCACAUGAUCGCAUGGUCGAGUGAAGAAAGAAUUUCGCUCUGAGAGGGUCUCGCGGCCUAUCAGCUUGUUGGUGGGGUAACGGCCCACCAAGGCAACGACGGGUAGCUGGUUUGAGAGAACGAUCAGCCACACUGGGACUGAGACACGGCCCAGACUCCUACGGGAGGCAGCAGUGGGGAAUCUUGCGCAAUGGGCGAAAGCCUGACGCAGCAACGCCGCGUGCGGGAUGACGGCCUUCGUGGUUGUAAACCGCUUUCAGCAGGGACGAAAAUGACGGUACCCUGGCAGAAGAAGCCCCGGCUAACUACGUGCCAGCAGCCGCGG